rnacentral:rRNA from 1 species
CACGUAGGGCGCGAGCGUUGUCCGGAAUUAUUGGGCGUAAAGAGCUCGUAGGCGGCCUGUUGCGUCCGCUGUGAAAGCCCGGGGCUUAACGGCGGGUUGGCUUCCGGUACGGGCAUGCUGGAGUGUGGCAGGGGAGACUGGAAGUUCCUGGUGUAGCGGUGGAAUGCGCAGAUAUCAGGAGGAACACCGGUGGCGAAGGCGGGUCUCUGGGCCAUUACUGACGCUGAGGAGCGAAAGCGUGGGGAGCGAACAGG